UACGUAGGUGGCGAGCGUUGUCCGGAUUCACUGGGCGUAAAGAGCGCGCAGGCGGUCGUUCAAGUCGCGUGUGAAAGCCCCCGGCUCAACUGGGGAGGGUCACGCGAUACUGAUCGACUCGAAGGCAGGAGAGGGUAGUGGAAUUCCCGGUGUAGUGGUGAAAUGCGUAGAUAUCGGGAGGAACACCAGUGGCGAAGGCGACUACCUGGCCUGUUCUUGACGCUGAGGCGCGAAAGCUAGGGGAGCAAACGGG
rnacentral:rRNA from 1 species